rnacentral:rRNA from 1 species
AGCGAACGCUGGCGGCAGGCUUAACACAUGCAAGUCGAGCGGACCUUUCGGGGUCAGCGGCGGACGGGUGAGUAACGCGUGGGAACGUGCCUUCCGGUUCGGAAUAACCCUGGGAAACUAGGGCUAAUACCGGAUACGCCCUUAUGGGGAAAGGUUUACUGCCGGAAGAUCGGCCCGCGUCUGAUUAGCUAGUUGGUGGGGUAACGGCCUACCAAGGCGACGAUCAGUAGCUGGUCUGAGAGGAUGAUCAGCCACACUGGGACUGAGACACGGCCCAGACUCCUACGGGAGGCAGCAGUGGGGAAUAUUGGACAAUGGGCGCAAGCCUGAUCCAGCCAUGCCGCGUGAGUGAUGAAGGCCUUAGGGUUGUAAAGCUCUUUUAUCCGGGACGAUAAUGAUGGUACCGGAGGAAUAAGCCCCGGCUAACUUCGUG